rnacentral:rRNA from 1 species
UACGGAGGGUGCAAGCGUUAUCCGGAUUCACUGGGUUUAAAGGGUGCGUAGGUGGUCAAGUAAGUCAGUGGUGAAAUCUCCGGGCUUAACCCGGAAACUGCCAUUGAUACUAUUUGUCCUGAAUAUUGUGGAGGUCAGCGGAAUAUGUCAUGUAGCGGUGAAAUGCUUAGAUAUGACAUAGAACACCAAUUGCGAAGGCAGCUGGCUACACAAAUAUUGACACUGAGGCACGAAAGCGUGGGGAUCAAACAGG